rnacentral:lncRNA from 9 species
UUUUUUUUUUUUUUUUUUUUCGGUGCUCCAAAAUGAAAAUAACUUGAGCUUUUUGGUUAUCAAAGAUACUGUUAAAGUAAUCCCAGAAAAUACCAAUAUCAACUGAAACUUUUUUUUUUUUUUUUUUUUUCAGUUAUAUUAACUGCUGCCUAUGUUACUAGGGACCAGCAAGUUUUAAUCACAAUCUUUUAGAACUCGCGUGUGUGCACACACACUCGUUAUCUUGUGUCGGUCACUCCAGUUAAUCACUUCAGCAUAACAUGGUAAAAGAAAUCAAUAGAAUAUGGAGAAAAGAAAAGCAUUAAAAUUAAGCCACAGUGCUUUCUGCCUUAUAGAUGAUAUUUAAAACCUGUAUUUCAUUAAUUAGUACCCUCGAAUCAAUUAAAAAUUAUUACUCAGAAGGAUUUUAGUACAUUGAGAUGAUGAUAGGACAACUGUGAAACUUUCAACGCGUUCUUUUGUUUUUAGAGUUUGUUUAGGUGGGCACAGACUAUUACAUAAAUGAGAAGCAUCAGAUAUUCUGGUCAUCUUUGCUUUGGACAUGGUCACAUUAAAUUUUUUUUUUCUUCACACUGUUUCACUGAACUAUAUGUGAAGUUUUAGAAGCAGAGUAAAUCUGAGCUACUAUAAGAAAUUUGAAAACUUUUGCGCUCAGAAGAAAGAACAAUAUCGAUUUCACUAGUUUUUAAAUGCAAGUCCCAAUCUUGGCAUAUUUGCCAAUCACAGAUGCAAGCAUAUUUGUUUCAUCGUUGAGAACACACUUAAUAUUUGUUUAUUGUGGUUUUAGCUUAAUGCGGGGUAGUCCAUUUGGUCAAUACAGGUUGACUUUAGAGAAUUCUCAUCAAUUAUUUCAUUGACCAUCUCAGCCACAAAUACAUUGUUUAUUGCUUGUUUUCACAAUUCAUUAUUGAAUAUAGAUCAAACUCUACUUCUCUGUCAUGUUAUCCAAGGUUUUAGAGUACUUGUGGUCUACCUUGCUUCAAGUUUUAUCUGUUGUGUUAAGAACUGACGAUGAAAUUUUCACACCACUGCUAUAUUAUUCUUUUUCUUAUGAGAUUUAGCCAAACAAGGACAUGAUUAUGUUUCACAGAAGGAGAAGCUACUUUCUUCAUUUGGUUCUAACUAUUUGCCAGUUUAACAAAUCAAGCAUCAGAAGACUGACACCAGAGAAUUCUCAGCUAUAAUCAAUUGAGCCUUCCAACCUUUUAUUGCUUUGAAAAAAACAAACAAACAAAACAAAACCUAACAGUUCUUAUCAACGCCUCUGUUCUCUAGUGAUAGCCCUACUGAAGAUGAGAAAUAGACUAUAAAACGUGGAUAAUUUGAAUUGAAAAUCCAAAAUAUAGCACUGAAGCUAAAUUCCAAGAAUUAUGGUCAUUCUCUCAGUGUAUGGCUUUCAAAGGAUUAUAAAUUGAAAGACUAAGACUAUUUUACUCUAUGCUGAGAGAAUGAUUUGGCUUCUUUGGCCAGAAUAAACGUCCCAAUUAUGAGAUUUGCUUUGUUUUCCAUAUAGUAAAAUGUGAUCAAAAAGAGUUGUCGUAAAAAGCAAAUGUCCCAUUAUCUUUCUUCAUAUAACGUAUUUUCCUUCUGGUUUCACAGUGCUAAACCAACAUGGUGCUUUUUCUUAUUGUCGUGUUUUGAUGGGACAGGUAUGAGCUGAUACUUAUGACGCAUUUCUGUUCAAUAUGUUCUAAUGCAGGCAGAAAAGAGAUGGCAUCCAGCUGGAAAAAAGAAAUAGUGCCUUUCUUUCUUGUUAUUCUCACAGCAAAUGCAAGUGGGCUUUCGUUGUUGUUGUUCAACCAUGCUUUCUAAUUACUGAUUUGAAUGGUUCUGUAGAUUAAAAAUAAAGUUCUUAAUUGAGUAUAAAUGAGUUUGGAAAAUAUCCAACUGGCAACGCUUUUCUCUUGUAGCAUUUAUUAGAAUCAAGAUGUUUCCUAAUUGAAGAAGCUAACACAUUGCUAUAUCUUUUAAACUCUUCUAUGUUCAGGCCUUAUGGGAAAAAGCACUGGGGGUUGAUGGUGUAUGGUUUGGGAAUUGAAGUAGGAUGUAUAAAUAUAUUAAAACACCCUCUGAACAGAUUUUUGUCGAAUUAACUACUUCAUUUCUUGAAGACUCCCGAGAAAACUUGCACCAGCAUGACAACAGCUGCCACAAGUUUUUUGGUCUUAAAUACAUGUAAGACAAGUAAUCAUAACACUUGAUGUAGCCUGAGGCCAUGUGUGCAUGUUCUGGAGAAGUGAUAGCAUGACUGAGCGAUAAGCAGCGGAUUCAGACCCAACCAAUUCCUCAUCCUAGCUGGGUGUAACAUUCUUUUCACUUUCCAUACGUCCUGGUCUUUCUUGGAUGGAGCUUGACAUUCAUCAGCGUUGCUAAUUAUUGCACAUAUUUUCAUCAAAAUAGUAUUAGUGAAGUGAAUUGUUCCAUUGUUACGUAUAUUUCAUUAUCUAGCGUAUUUAAUUUGAAUAUAGGUAGUAUAAUGGCGAGAGAAAGUUUUACACAUAUAAAUAUAUGACAACAAUGUAACAUGUAGACUAUGUAGAGGGAGUCGUGUAUAUUUGAGUAAUUAUAUAGACAUAGAUGCACACACAUAAAGUCUUGUGUGCCUUUAUAGACAUACACGUUUUAUAUAAACAUUAAAAAUCUGGUGCUGAAUGUUUGCUGCUAUAAAAUGUAGGGGAAGGUUAUUUCAGCCAGAUCUAAUAAAGGGAAAUAUCCUGAGAGUCUAUGAAAUAAUCUAUUAGGUCACACUUUAUUACAAAUUAAAUAUUCACAUUUUCCUGUCAACUUGCUUAACUCUUCCACUGCAAAGGUCACAAGUUUAAAAGACCAGGGUAUCGGUAACUGGCAGAUGUGACUGAAGCACACACAUGUUCUUUCACAUGCUGUAUUUUCAUGAUGAUAUCAUGCCGAAUACUCAGUUAUAACUGCUCUUUCAUCUUAGUGAAUCUUCACUACGAAAGCAGACAGACACCACUAUCAAAUAUGCCGCUCAAAGAUUGAGAGUACAUUCCUGCAUUACUGGGUCCUAAUUAAAAUAUUGGCCUGAGGCCCUUUAAAACAAACAAACAACCAAACAACAAAUGUAUUCAUGAAGCUUGAGGUAAAGUCUUAAAGUGAAUUCUGUGAUUUAUCAAAAGAGGUAUGUUCAAUUUCAAAUGUUUGGUGGUAGUACCAUUGCUUUUUCAGAAUAGCACUAGUGUUAUAAAAAAUCUUACUGGUUUUGAAGUCUUUUUAAGUAAGAAAACCAAGUUUCAAAGAAAUGAGGUUAUUGGUCCAAAAUCCAAUUAGUUGCUAAUAACUAAUAUUCGAUCUAAUGAGAACUAAUGGCAGAACUAGAAUGAAAGCCCAGUUUUUUUUUUUGUUUUUUUUGUUUUUUUUGUUUUUUUUUUUUGUCUUUUUGCUAUUUCUUGGGCCGCUCCCGCGGCAUAUGGAGGUUCCCAGGCUAGGGGUUGAAUCGGAGCUGUAGCCACCGGCCUACGCCAGAGCCACAGCAACGCGGGAUCCGAGCCGCAUCUGCAACCUACACCACAGCUCACGGCAAUGCCGGAUCGUUAACCCACUGAGCAAGGGGCAGGGACCGAACCCGCAACCUCAUGGUUCCUAGUUGGAUUCGUUAACCACUGCGCCACGACGGGAACUACGAAAGCCCAGUUUCUUGAGCACCCAGGUCAGGCUUUCCCUGCGGU